ACCGGGUCUGUUCUGUCUCAAUAUUAUACUGGGUCUCUGAUGAACCGACCAGGUCUGAUCUGUCUCAAUAUUAUACUGGGUCUCUGAUGAACCGACCAGGUCUGUUCUGUCUCAAUAUUAUACUGACUCUCUGAUGAACCGACCAGGUCUGAUCUGUCUCAAUAUUAUACUGACUCUCUGAUGAACCGACCGGGUCUGUUCUGUCUCAAUAUUAUACUGGGUCUCUGAUGAACCGACCGGGUCUGUUCUGUCUCAAUAUUAUACUGGGUCUCUGAUGAACCGACCAGGUCUGAUCUGUCUCAAUAUUAUACUGGGUCUCUGAUGAACCGACCGGGUCUGUUCUGUCUCAAUAUUAUACUGACUCUCUGAUGAACCGACCAGGUCUGUUCUGUCUCAAUAUUAUACUGACUCUCUGAUGAACCGACCAGGUCUGUUCUGUCUCAAUAUUAUACUGACUCUCUGAUGAACCGACCAGGUCUGUUCUGUCUCAAUAUUAUACUGACUCUCUGAUGAACCGACCAGGUCUGUUCUGUCUCAAUAUUAUACUGACUCUCUGAUGAACCGACCAGGUCUGUUCUGUCUCAAUAUUAUACUGACUCUCUGAUGAACCGACCAGGUCUGUUCUGUCUCAAUAUUAUACUGACUCUCUGAUGAACCGACCAGGUCUGUUCUGUCUCAAUGUAUCACUGACUGAUGAACCGACCAGGUCUGUUCUGUCUCAAUAUUAUACUGACUCUCUGAUGAACUUACCAGGUCUGUUCUGUCUCAAUAUUAUACUGACUCUCUGAUGAACUUACCAGGUCUGUUCUGUCUCAAUGUUAUACUGACUCUCUGAUGAACCGACCAGGUCUGUUCUGUCUCAAUAUUAUACUGACUCUCUGAUGAACCGACCGGGUCUGAUCUGUCUCAAUAUUAUACUGGCUCUCUGAUGAACCGACCAGGUCUGUUCUGUC